CCCUUAGAUGUUCUGGGCUGCACGCGCGCUACACUGAAGCGUUCAACGAGUAUUCACCUUGCCCGGGAGGGUUGGGUAAUCUUUUGAAAACGCUUCGUGAUGGGGAUAGAUUAUUGCAAUUAUUAAUCUUCAACGAGGAAUGCCUAGUAGGCGCAAGUCAUCAGCUUGCGUCGAUUACGUCCCUGCCCUUUGUACACACCGCCCGUCGCUCCUACCGAUUGGGUGUGCUGGUGAAAUGUUCGGAUCGGCCGUUUGUCGCGGUUUCCGCGUCAUGUGGCUGAGAAGUUCAUUAAACCCUCCCACCUAGAGGAAGGAGAAGUCGUAACA
rnacentral:rRNA from 1 species